rnacentral:rRNA from 1 species
GCAUAUCAAUAAGCGGAGGAAAAGAAACCAACAGGGAUUGCCUUAGUAGCGGCGAGUGAAGCGGCAAAAGCUCAAAUUUGAAAUCUGGCGCCUUCGGUGUCCGAGUUGUAAUUUGAAGAUUGUAACCUUGGGGUUGGCUCUUGUCUAUGUUUCUUGGAACAGGACGUCACAGAGGGUGAGAAUCCCGUGCGAUGAGAUGCCCAAUUCUAUGUAAGGUGCUUUCGAAGAGUCGAGUUGUUUGGGAAUGCAGCUCUAAGUGGGUGGUAAAUUCCAUCUAAAGCUAAAUAUUGGCGAGAGACCGAUAGCGAACAAGUACAGUGAUGGAAAGAUGAAAAGAACUUUGAAAAGAGAGUGAAAAAGUACGUGAAAUUGUUGAAAGGGAAGGGUUUGAGAUCAGACUCGAUAUUUUGUGAGCCUUGCCUUCGUGGCGGGGUGACCCGCAGCUUAUCGGGCCAGCAUCGGUUUGGGCGGUAGGAUAAUGGCGUAGGAAUGUGACUUUACUUCGGUGAAGUGUUAUAGCCUGCGUUGAUGCUGCCUGCCUAGACCGAGGACUGCGAUUUUAUCAAGGAUGCUGGCAUAAUGAUCCCAAACCGCCCGUCUGA